GGAAGGAUCAUUAUCGAAUAUAAACUUGGAUGGACUGUUGCUGGCUUCUCAUGAUGAGGGGCAUGUGCACGUUUAUCCUCUUUAUUUUUCCACCUGUGCACCUUUUGUAGGCUUGGAUUAUCAGUGGUUCUAAUGUGUCUUUCAAAGGCAUAAGAAUUGUUUUGGGGCUGCUGUGUUUAAACACAUGUUUAUCGGCUUUCCCUUUUAUUUUCCAAGUCUAUGUUUUGCUAUAUACACUCCAGAAAUGUAAUAGAAUGCUGUACUUUAGGUCAUUUGUACCUAUAAAUAAAAUCAGUACAACUUUCAGCAACGGAUCUCUUGGCUCUCGCAUCGAUGAAGAACGCAGCGAAAUGCGAUAAGUAAUGUGAAUUGCAGAAUUCAGUGAAUCAUCGAAUCUUUGAACGCAUCUUGCGCUCCCUGGUAUUCCAAGGAGCAUGCCUGUUUGAGUAUCAUUAAAUUAUCAACUGUUGCCAAUUUGGUUUGCAGAUUGGAUGUGGGAGAUUUCUUGCAGGCUUUCAAAAGUCAGCUCUCCUGAAAUGAAUUAGCAGUGCCUUUGUUGGUUCAUUAGGUGUGAUAAUUUAUCUACAUCUUCAAAUGGUACCUUCAUUUGUAAAAAGGUCAUAUUGCUUCUAAUUGUCUUUGGGACAAAACAUAUAAUGAACUUGAUCUCAAAUCAGGCAGGACUACCCGCUGAACUUAAGCAUAUCAAUAAGCGGAGGAAAAGAAACUAACAAGGAUUCCCCUAGUAACUGCGAGUGAAGCGGGAAAAGCUCAAAUUUAAAAUCUGACAGUUGUUCUGGCUGUCCGAGUUGUAAUCUAGAGAAGUGUUACCCGUGCUGGACCGUGUACAAGUCUCCUGGAAUGGAGCAUCAUAGAGGGUGAGAAUCCCGUCUUUGACAUGGACUACCAGGGCUUUGUGGUGCGCUCUCAAAGAGUCGAGUUGUUU
rnacentral:rRNA from 1 species